rnacentral:rRNA from 1 species
UCCGUAGGCGGAUUGAUAAGUCAGAGGUGAAAUCCCACAGCUUAACUGUGGAACUGCCUUUGAAACUGUUAGUCUUGAGUUAUAUGGAAGUAGAUAGAAUGUGUAGUGUAGCGGUGAAAUGCAUAGAGAUUACACAGAAUACCGAUUGCGAAGGCAGUCUACUACGUAUAUACUGACGCUAAUGGACGAAAGCGUGGGGAGCGAACAGGAUUAGAUACCCUGGUAGUC